GGUCACACUGGGGGCGGGGUCACACUGGGGAUUCAUGGCCCAAGGAUGAAAUCACUCUGGGAUUUCAACCAACUACCUUCCGAUCACAGGCACAGCAUACUAACCUGCUGAGGCAAACACUGCCUAUUAUUUAACACAGAAGGACAACACAAAUGAUGUAACCUAUAAUUAGCUCUUCAAAAGUUGCAGAUUUACAAUAAAGCAACAUGGCAGCCAUGUUUCAGAAUCAGCAUCUGUAUUGGCACACGACUAAGGCCGGUGGAGAUCAGUGUUGGCAUAGCUUGCUGCAGUUGGAGACACCCUAACAAUAGAAAAUUAACAGUUAGGAAAAACAAUGACAGAGACUCAAUGCAAGACACAGCAGAAAGGCGUAAAUACGAGGUAGUUGAAAAAUGUCUGCGUUUGUAUAAGCUCCACCCAGCGGCUAUCCGCAUGGCGGACUGGGCACCCUGUUCUGUGUAUAUUAUGUUCUGUCAUAUAGUUUCAGAUAGAAGGUCGUACAAUCUAAAUAUGAUUAACGAUGCGAGUACUGCAGGUGCCAGAUGCUGUUCUUGGUGUUUACGGCAUGCGAGUACUGCAGGUGCCAGAUGCUGUUCUUGGUGUUUACGGCAUGCGAGUACUGCAGGUGCCAGAUGCUGUUCUUGGUGUUUACGGCAUGCGCUCGCAUGCGCUUCCUCUGCAGACAUGCCCGUGCUGUGCCUUCUCAGCCUCACCUGCUGUCAUAUGUACACUGUGUGAAACAUGCUGCAGCGUGACUCAGCACCCCCCCACCACUGGCCCACCCCCAGAUACAGGCUCCCCCUUCAGCACGGUCAGGUUCUGUGCUCAGUGUUUGGAGCAUUGCGGCCUGCUGUGUGUCUGUGCGGAAUUAAAAUGCAAUUUAUCAAG